rnacentral:rRNA from 1 species
CAGUCGUACCUUCGGGUAAUCAGCCUUUCGGGUGCGAUUCUGUGGAGUGUGAGGAGUUAAACACCUUCAUGUUUUGCAUAUUCGUACUCUUGGGUGUACUUGCCCGUGUGGUUGGUUAACAUCAAUUUUGGUGGUCAUAAAAUGACUGGAGGAAUGUAGCUUCGAUCUCGUAUUGAAGUGUUAUAGCCUUCGGUAGAUGUGAUGAUCGAGAUUGAGGAUUGCGACGGAUACCCUUCGGGGCUACCUGUCUGGUCUCUGAUCGUUGCUCUGGUGCCGAAAGCUUGCUUACGGUUAUCAAAGUCGAUGGUCAAUAGGUUAGAACGGGUUAAAUUCGUUAAGGAUGUUGACGUAAUGGCUUUAAACGA